UGUGCCGGCUGGGGGGUGGCGUGGGGGCUGAGAGGCGUGAGGGCUGAGGGGAGGACGUGUAUGCUGAGUGGCGUGGGGGCUGAGGGGAGUGUGGGGCCCAGGUGAGGGGCAGACUGAGGGGAGGGCGUGCGGCCCAGGAAAGGGUUUAAGGACCAGGAGAAGAGAGCUGUGAUGACCUCAUCUGACUGGGUGAGGUCGAAGGUGGACCUGUGUGCUGGUGACUGUAUGUAUUAGGCUGAAACUAGGGGCUGCGUAUGUCUGUGUGUGUCCCACUAUGUAUGGCCUCCUGUGUCCUUGCCUGUGCACGUGUCUGUGUGUCUGUGUGUGUGUGUGUGCGUGCGCGCGCUACCUGUCUUGGUCUCUUUCGGGGUCUCUGUGGCCAGCAUCCACCGCUGUCUAGCCUUUACCUGUCUCUGUGGGGGAGGUCUCUGAGUGACCGCCUGUGUCCAUGUCUGUGUGUGUCUGCCUUUAUUUCUGUCCAUGGUGUCUCAGUCUGAGGGUGCCAGUGGGUGUCUACCCGUGUCUCGUCUUUCCCUCUGUAUCUGUGUCUCUGGGUGUGAGUAUGUCUGUGAGAGUGGGGAGUGUUUCUCCUGUCUGUGUCUUUAUGUGCCCACCUGUAUCUGUGUCUCUGGAUGUUGCUGAGUGUUUGUGUGUGACUGUCGGGGCAGAUUAAGUGUGUGGGUGCAUCUGGGUGUGCCCUCCCAAAAGCAUGUGUGAAAGACUGCAUGCCUGGACGGGUGGGCCAGGCAGAGCACCUGCCUUCUUGUUCCCACAUUCCCCAGCUCCUUCCUGCCCCUCAGAGCCUUGCCUGGUGACAGGAUAUGGGGCUUCCCACUGGACCAUCUCAAGGGAAGGAGAAUGGGGUUGAUUUGUUAAAGAAAUUUGUGUUGGGUGCUCAGAGUGCUGUUCCUGGCACUCUCCCAAGUCUUGUUUACAGACCUCCCAGUAACUCUGAGAUAGGGACCUUCAACAUCCCCAUUUUACAGAUGGGGAAACCGAGGCAAUCAGGUUCCAGAGCCCCUGCACUUAACCAUCUGACAGAUGGGACAUUCUUGUUUCCUUUCUCUCCUCUGAGAAAAAGUUGUAGGAUUUUUCCCUGUGGGAAUUUCCCUGUAGAAACAAUGGAAGGAAGGAAAUGACAGAAAGCCUGGAUUGGGGAAGAGGAGGAAUGAGGGAUCUCCUGGCUUUGUGGCAACACAGAUCUCAGGCCACACUGGGUUCAGUGGUCACCAGCCUCAUGCACAUGUCACUUCCAGGGCCACUGUGCCUUCAUGCCUCUUUUCUCCAAAAAAAAAAUAAAUAAAUAAAAAUAAAAAUUAUAGUGAUUGCAUUAAUAUAAGGACAAAGAUAAUCCAAGCUGGAUUAGAGUCUUUUUUUCUUAUAAUUUUAAAAGAAAUGAAGACAUUUUCAUGGGCCACUCCAGGUAUCAGGGGCUCUGGGCCCAGAGUGCCUCCUGGGUAAAUGGGCUCUGGUCACUUCCACAUCCAGCAAAAGGAAUGGGUGUUGUUGACUGUCAGAGACUGAUAGUCCAAAAGAUAUAUAUUUUUAAAAUUAAAUUCUGCUUAAUAAAUUAUGACAGUAAUAUGAAGUCACUGCACCCAGAGACACAAAGGAAUACAAGGGGAAAAAAACUGAUACCCCCUUUCGCAUUUCCUCUCCCCUCGGGACACCAGUCACUAUCCAUCAUUCCACAGCCUUCCCCAGGCUUGGAAACACUGCCCAGAAGCACAGGUACCCAGGAGUGUUGGUUGUUUUCACACAGAGGGGUUAAAGUUAUGUAGAAAACCAUGGAACUUGCUUUCCUCAUUUAAUGACAUCACAGAUAUGUCCACAGGUUAGGAACUAACUCCUACUUCCUAGGGCAACCUGGUAUUUCAAACGAUGCCUUGCCAUUUGUCUGACCCUUCCUUUACUGAUGGCUAGAUUUUGUCUCCAGGGCUUUUCUGUUGGUUGGUUGGUUGGUUUGUGCUUUGCCUCUAGGAACAGUGAGUGCUACAAUAAACAUCUUUUGUCCACGUAUAACUUUUCACAUGGAGCUUUUAGGCGGAGUCCCAGGACCAGGGUUGCUGGGUUAUGGGUUAGUCCACUUUCCAGCUCAUUCUCCAGAAAGGUUGAGGGGCUUUUGUUCCUUCAGCUGUGUGUGGGAGGCCCGUUUCCUUGCAUCUUUGCUUGUGCUAGAAGUUGGCUCAUUUAUUCAUAACUUUUUUUUUUUUCAAUGUGUGGUUGCCUUCCAUGUGCCAGAUAUUGUCCUAGGUGCUAGAGACACAAUCCAAAAUGAUCAUCUCAGUUCUGCCCCUGAAGGUACCCCCCGGGCAACUGCAUCCCGCUCAUUGGAACAUACUCAACUAACAACAGUAAUAGUAAAUAACAGCUAAUCUGUAUUAGUUCUUACAGUGUGCUGCACAGCCCCCAAGCUCCUUAUGAGUAUCAAUUAGUUGAAACUUUCAGUAACUCCAUGAGAUCUGGGGGAGCCCCAGAGGGGUGGGGGUGGCGUUGGGGCAUUGUGGGGCCUUGGGCCAGCCCUCAGACCCAGGGAGAGGCACAGGGCCCUGUUGUUCCCUCCAGCUUGUGGUACUGGCAAUGUGUGUGCGUGUUGGGGGUGUAUUGGUGUGUGGGUGUCUGGGCAUGCAUUUGGGGGACAAUAAGCUCGUGGACCGGGAUGUUCUCAGCCCAUCUCCAAUCCCAGCUCUGUAAUCUUAGAUGAGUGGCUUAUCUCUUUGGGCCUUCGUUUCCUCAUCUAUGAAAUGGGGUGGGUAGAAAUAGUACCUUGUAGGGGUGUUAGGAACAAUGAGAGGCGUUUGUUAAGUGCCUUGCAUCUGAUAGGCCCCUUACGUAUUCGCUAUUAAUGUGUCUGCGUGUCCGUCUGUCCUGUCUGCAUUGUGAGGCAGGCCUAGACCUGCUCUCUCACUGUGCCUCCCUUUUUCUCUCCCCACCCCACAGGCUGCCUGUCCCCCGCUCACUGGUCACUGUGGGCAGUGAAGGGAUGGCCACCCAGCCGCUGACUGAUGAGGCCCUGGAUCAAGGGCCCUGGCCAAGUCUCCUGGGAGCUGUGUCCACCCUGAGGAGGAAUGGUAGUGCCUUGACACUGGCUUCAGUCAACAGAGGACAGGACAACUCAGGAGUGACCUGUCCUGGAGACACUGGUGGGCUCACCUGGGAAGUGGUGGCUUAAACAUGUAACAUCAAGUGUGAAAAAGGACCCUGUAGAGGGGCCCAGACAAUACAGUGCUGGACACGUGACUUUCAAAAGUGGGCAGAUAGCACUAAUGUUUGGGAAUGGGGAGAAGGACACUUGUAGGUAGGGGCACGUGUACGUCCCCAGCUCACGCCAUGAUGUUUUAUGGUAUUUCAAAGGGUGGUAUGGAUAUGGCUAUUUGUGGUAUUUUUCUCUAAACUUUCUUUUAUGCAAGAACUAUUUCAUAAUUAAAAAAUUACACAGGCAUAAAUUUUGUAUGAUUUAUUCAAGAGUGGUUCCUUGCAGAGGUAGGUUGGGGUGAGUAUUUUUAAGGCCUUUCAUAAAGCUUCAUAGUUCUCUCUCCUUUGGUUUGGGCACUUUAUUCUCCCACCAGGAUGCAGGAGAGGCUGCCACUGGUUUAUGUCAGCCAUUGUCAGGUAUUUAUUCUGCUCACUGGAUAUAAAUGACAAAUGGUAUAAACCUGGAGCAGGGUAGGUGACAACUGGUAUCAUGUGAUCUCUGAGUAGCAUCAUUUGUAUUAUUAGUGAGUUUCGAUUUUAAGGAAAUGUUUCUUAGCCAUUUCUGUGGGCAGGUAAAUUAUCCUGUGCUUUGCCGUUCUACAGGAAUCUUAAUAUUCUGGAAGUUUUUAAAGAAUGUGUAUGUGUGUGUAUGUGUGUAUAUAUAUUUGUGGCAAAUAUUCUUCCUGGUUUGCUUUUUAUUUCUUAAUUUAUUUUCUUUUUCAUAAGUAUAAAAGCAUUGCAUAUUUUAAAAAUCUAAUCUAUCAUCUCUCCGUUUCUGGUGUCUUGAAGAUGUAAAAGGGAUGUCCAUCCAAAGGUCGCACAUCACCUAUAUAUCUUUUUUCAUUUAUCAUUUGGGUGUUAACAGAGAACUUUUGAGACUUUUGUUUCCACCUGGAAUUUGUCUUGCUGUACAAAUAUGUCAGUUCACUUACCCGUGAGUUUUGGUUUGUUGUGUUCCCAUUAACACCUUUAUCGAGAUACACCCCACAUAUCACAAAAUACAAUUCAUUGCUUUUUUGGUAUAGUCACAGAAUUGUGCAACCAUCACCACAGUCAAUUCUAGAAUAUUUUCAUCACCCCAAGAAGGAACCGUGUAUCCAUCACCACUCACUCUCACUUCCCCUCAUCAACUCGUAGCCCCGGCAACCACUAAUUUACUUUUUGUCUCUGGAUUGGCCUAUUCUGGACAUUUUGUAUAAGUGGAAUCAUACACUAUGUGGUCUUUUACAUGUGGCUUCUUUCAUGGAGCAUGUUUUUGAUGUUCACAUAUGGUGUAAUGUGUGCUUUGUUUGUUUUCAUAGCUGAAUAAUAUUCCAUCGUAUGGGUAGAGUAUAUAUUAUUUAUUCAUUCAUCAGGUGGUGGACAUUUGGGCUAAUUCCACUUCUUGGUUAUUAUUGGUGAUGCUGCUGUGAACAGGAGCAUACAAGUGCUUUGUUUGAGCUUGUGUCUCAUUUCUCUUGGGUGUAGGAGUGGAAUUGCUGAGUCCUUUGUUAACUUUCUGUUUAACCAUUUAAGGAACAAUCGGACUGUUUUCCAACUUGGCUGCACCCUGAUGUCUUCAUUUUUAACCUGUCUUUGAUUGUCACCUUGAUUUCUUCUUUCGCCAACAUUACUUAGAAGGAUUUGUCCAUUGUUGUCAUUUCAAUGUGGUUGAUUUGGGGCUUAAGUUUGUUUUCAUUUUUUUCUUAGUAUAAUUACAUUCUGAUUUUUUUUUUUUUAAUGGAGCCUCUCUGACUUCAGCUCUUUGGAAGCAGGUGAAGUUUUCCUUGUGGUGAAAUGGUUUGUGUCAUUAGACAGGAAACCAAAAUAGAUGAAGCCCUAGAGUGAGUAGCCUCAGACACGUGCACACAAAGAACUCAAAGAGGGUCUGCUCGCUGAGGUGAAGAGGAGAGCAGCUUCUGUGUCUGCCUUCACAUCCUUGCUAUAUGGCAUGGACUCUAAGACUUCUAGGACCAUCUGUUUUCUUUUCAGUAAAUUCGCAUGCCAGCCCGGGCUCAAUACAUGGAGCCUGUACAGUAAAUAUUUCAUUGAGUGAAUUCAUUGAGGUGAGACAUACUUAGCAAGAACUUUCAGAAGGAAUUGCAUUUAAAAAUUAAAACAAAAUAAAGGAGUCACAUGGAAA